CGUGUCGAGUUUAAACGUGGAAGUGUAUUUGUUUGUUAACUUUUAGAAAGUAUUAACUGCACCAUUUUCGAUUCGAACGCACCGUAUAAAUGCGAGUCAUUUUUCUAUUUUGUCAGUGUUAAGUUUGUUGUUUGAUAUCAUAAGUACAAUGCGGAAGUUAACUUAGUGGUUUGGUGUUCGUACCAAAAAGCAGUUUUAAAGAUCAUCUUAGUACUCCCACCCCGUAACCACAACUAGAACAGCAGCAAUCUUAAAUAUGAACUUAAGUCAACUGAAUCAAACCUGUCUCGCAGAGGGAGAAUUUGAAAAACCGAUUGUCAAAUUGUAUGACUUGGCGCUAGGCGUUCCGUUCAAAAUUACGAGCGCCAAAAUUGUUACAAUUAGAAAAUUCCGUAGUAUUUCUUCCUACUCGUGUGACAGAAGCUUUCCGUCCGAGACUAGAAAAAUUUGCAUCGGGGGAGUACAAACUGGUCUACGAGGGAGCCAAAGAUAUUGGAAAGACCAACUCUUUACAAAAAUUUAAAAUAAUUCAAAAUUGAUCUACAUAUUAUACAGGGCAAGUAUUAUUUACUGUUAUAUAUAGUAAAUCCCGAUGAGCGUAAAGCAGAUCAUUCAUAGAGCGCAAAUUUUAAUUUUUCCUUACAAAAAUUAAAAAACCAUAUUUUCGACAAGUUCACUGUUAGAGAUAGUGAUGUGUGACUUAGGAGACUAAAUAAAAAUAUUGAAUCUUGCAACCAAAUCGUUUCUAUGGAAAAUGAUUUAUCUAUUGGUUAAAAAUAAAAUUACAAACGACAAUUCAACGUCUUAAAGCUAUUAGAAAAAUUAUUCUUAAUCACCAACAUAAGCAUUUUGGAUUAGGAUUACAAAGCAGCAGCGGCGAGACAAAUAUAAAUCAAAUGGUUGUAUGGGAAUCGGAAGCGUAAAUAAUUUUUUAUUAUAUUUUUAUUGCAGAUCAUGGUCAAACAACUCACAUUAGAAAGCCUUUGUAGUAAAACAAUUUGCGAAAAUAUUAGGUGUAGUGCUGAUUUCUUGCUUGAGUCACCGUUAUCUUGGAAACUAACGAUACUAACAUUUAAAUAUUAUAUCUGAUGAGAAUUCUCUAUUACAUUUAGAAUUAAUUCUGUUGAAUAAGAUAUUUGGACCGUCUUAUGGAAAUAGCAUUUUGGCAACUCCAACCAUUGAUUUUUAUGGGUCAGUUAUUACAGGAUGAAAUAUGCGGAAAUUUUAGUUUGUAAAUCUUGCCACUCGAUAUUUCUUUAUAUUUCAACUGGGUAAAAAUAUAAAAAGAAAAAUUUUGUAUUUGUUUUGGAUUACAAUAAACAAUUUUGGUGUCAAAGCUGCUUUGAAGAAGUUUUGUUCAAUGUAAUGUGUUAAUGCUUCACGGUGACGCGAAAUAUGGAAAAAAGUUACGCUUGUCUGAUCGCAGGUCUUCUAUGUUCUGUGGUUUAUUAUAAAUAUAUAACCGUAAAUAAGGCUUUUAUGUAAUGAUGUAUUAACACCACAUAAUAAUUACACAGAAGUUUGGAUUUGUAUAAUUUACUUAUUAUAUACAUUAUUACUACUUUAAGUUCUCGUUAAAAGCUAAAUUAUUUCGUUGAUAUUGCACUCUAAUCGCGCCAACUGAGACUCCAAGUUCCUUUUUAAGUUGAAGGCAUCACAAAUGACACUUUUUUCUUUGCCGUCCCUGAACACUUCGAGCCAAUCUGUUAACGGCGUUGGAGCUGCAAACGCUUCAAUUGUCGUAGUUUUCUUCUUCUUCUUGCGGGAUACGAUCGACGCACUUUGUUUUCGUUUUGUCGCAGAUUUUUUGGUUUCUUGUUGCUAUUGUUCUACAGGAACGAGGCUGGAUCACUUCUGACUGAGGAAAUUGCAACUCGAAAUUUUCCAAUCAAUUAUACAAUUCGUUGGAUGUCACAAUUUGCUCCUGAGUCAUCAUGCGCACGUAUUUAUCUUAGAACUUAUUAAUUUAUUUCAACCCGUCUACGUCGUCUACCCACGAGUCGUGCGAGUUAUCCAAUCCCAACCAGCGCACUAGAACGAUAUUGCCUAGUUUGCGCAACACCUUUUCGACGAGAUAUAAGUCAGGGUUAACUGUAUUCUGAAUUUUUUUUUUCAUAAAACCCGCCCAUAAUGAGUUUACCCUGCAUAUCUUGAAGCAAACACGUUACGGGGUUAGUAACCCGCACUUUAACAAUUUUAAAUAAUUCCGUGGUCCAAUUCGGUGUAUAACCUUUGUUAGACUCGUGUUUGACUUUGCUGAUUAAAACGAUGUAACCGACUUUAAGUUUACGAGGACCGAAUAUUUUUAUGCGACUAUACGCGGUUUUCAAAAUUCUCUUUUCGUUGCUCUUACUCAGAUCGAUCGGUUUCGUACCUUUCGUUCUGUGUUUUGUGUUAUUGUAUUCUUCAACGGUAGAGGCGAGCACAUCGAUCUAUUCGUAGGUGCCGCGUAAAGAAAAAUGUCGAAAUAAUUUCUCUUUGAGAGUACUUUGGGAUUGAGGUUAUGUGCGAUUUUUUGCUCCUUAACCGGCCUAUUAUUACUACUUUUAAUUCAUGCAAUGCAAGCAAGUUCAAUUCAUCAACAACCAAUGCAGGAGGAAUCCAGAAGAUUUGUAAAUAGUAUUGCAAUAGCCUGUAAAAAAAGUUAGUAGCGUAUAUCUUUUUGACAAUACGUUAUAUUCGUUAAGAUACCUCUAGGGACGGCACUGGAUUUAACAAUUUUAAUCUGGUUGUAACAAAAAUAGAACUUUGUUACUGUAAGUGACAAAUUGGAACAAGGUCGGGCGGUUUUUUUAAAUAUUAUGAUGAUGAUGAUCUCUUGGUUCCUGUCAAAUCAGUUAAAACGAAUUGACAUAUUUUAUUUCUCAGACAACUUGCACUUGAUUCAGGUGAAUAAGUUUACAUUACAAAGCCUUUGAUAAAGUUUCGCAUCGAUGCUUGUAAUUUAAACGUGAAAUUAAAAAUAAUAAUAAAAAAUAAACUUUAGACAUAAAGCAAUGGUUGUUUGGUUAAAAACCUGGGGGAAACUUAAGUAAAAACAUAAUUUGAAUUGAAAUUUUGAAUAUUCGGAAUGGCAAAAAUUCAAAUGAUUUACAAAAUUUUUAAUUUGGUUGAGGUCGGGAGGGAUCUUUGGAAGGUCAUAACUUAUCGCAGAAAUGUAUGCAAAAUUUCAAAUCGGUUGGCCAUUUAUUACAUUGAGUACUAUCAACUACAAACUACAAACUAAAAAAUUAAACUAACUAGUAAAAUGAAGUUCAUGAAAACCUCAUUUGAUGUUAGGACUUAUAAAAAAAACGAAGGGUUUGAUUUCUUAAAAGUACGAGUUAAACUUGACUUGAAAAGUAAAUCUUUAAUUUCACUUUAUUUCAGAAACCUAAUACCAAGGUAGAAUUCACCGCUGUUUUCAAAAAUAGCGAGGUGCCCCCACUACUUUCAACACGCUUUUCAUUGGGAUUGCAUCGCAGAAAAUUUAUAAACUCCGUUGGACAUACGAGUUGAAAACUCUUCCGCCUAAGUUGCUUCAAAAGACUAUUAAACGAUGCGGCGAAGGCACUCGCGUACUAUCCAAACUAACUUACUAAAACUGAUUAAAACUAAAUAAAUGUAAUAUGGAAUCGCUAUGGAAGUUUUCAAAAAAUUA